CCUACGGGUGGCAGCAGUGAGGAAUAUUGGUCAAUGGGCGCAAGCCUGAACCAGCCAAGUCGCGUGAGGGAAGAAUGCCCUAUGGGUUGUAAACCUCUUUUAUGCGGGGAUAAAGGUGGCCACGUGUGCAUGUUUGCGUGUACCUCAUGAAUAAGCACCGGCUAAAUCCGUGCCAGCAGCCGCGGUAAUACGGAGGGUCCGGGCGUUAUCCGGAUUGAUUGGGUUUAAAGGGAGCGUAGGCGGGUCUGUAAGCGUGCCGUCAAAGUCUGUGGCUCAACCAUGGGCGUGCGGUUGAAACUGGAGGUCUUGAGUACGGGGGAGGCAGGCGGAAUGCGUGGUGUAGCGGUGAAAUGCUUAGAUAUCACGAAGAACUCCGAUUGCGAAGGCAGCCUGCCGAAGCGUCACUGACGCUGAGGCGCGAAAGCGUGGGUAUCGAACAGGAUUAGAUACCCUUGUAGUC
rnacentral:rRNA from 1 species